rnacentral:rRNA from 1 species
AACGCACUUUGCGCUCUUUGGUAUUCCGAAGAGCACGCCUGUUUGAGUAUCAGUAAAUACCUCAAAAUUCAAUUUAGUUUUCUAAAUUGUACUUUUGGACUUGAGCAAUAUCUCAGUAAGUUUACUUAUCGAGUUGCUUGAAAUAUAGGUGUGGCAAGUUGAGAAAACUUGGCAAAAGCGUAAUUAAUUAGCCUUUCUUUUUUGAAUGGUUAUACCUUUUUCGCUGAAGCUAUUAAAAGUUGGCUCUAUUUUUGCUCGCUAAAACACAAAUUUUAUGAACUUGAUCUCAAAUCAGGUGGGAUUACCCGCUGAACUUAA